rnacentral:rRNA from 1 species
UACGUAGGUGGCAAGCGUUGUCCGGAUUUAUUGGGCGUAAAGAGCUCGUAGGCGGUCUGUUGCGUCGGCUGUGAAAACCCGGGGCUCAACUCCGGGCCUGCAGCCGAUACGGGCAGACUAGAGUUCGGCAGGGGAGACUGGAAUUCCUGGUGUAGCGGUGAAAUGCGCAGAUAUCAGGAGGAACACCGGUGGCGAAGGCGGGUCUCUGGGCCGAUACUGACGCUGAGGAGCGAAAGCGUGGGGAGCAAACAGG